CAGGCCUAACACAUGCAAGUCGAACGAGUGUGUCCCUUCGGGGUCUAGUGGCGCACGGGUGCGUAACGCGUGGGAAUCUGCCCUUGGGUUCGGAAUAACCGUUGGAAACGACGGCUAAUACCGGAUGAUGACGUAAGUCCAAAGAUUUAUCGCCUGAGGAUGAGCCCGCGUAGGAUUAGCUAGUUGGUGUGGUAAAGGCGCACCAAGGCGACGAUCCUUAGCUGGUCUGAGAGGAUGAUCAGCCACACUGGGACUGAGACACGGCCCAGACUCCUACGGGAGGCAGCAGUGGGGAAUAUUGGACAAUGGGCGAAAGCCUGAUCCAGCAAUGCCGCGUGAGUGAUGAAGGCCUUAGGGUUGUAAAGCUCUUUUACCCGGGAUGAUAAUGACAGUACCGGGAGAAUAAGCUCCGGCUAACUCCGUGCCAGCAGCCGCGGUAAU
rnacentral:rRNA from 1 species